rnacentral:rRNA from 1 species
AUUGAACGCUGGCGGCAGGCCUAACACAUGCAAGUCGAACGAGUGGCGGACGGGUGAGUAAUGUCUGGGAAACUGCCUGAUGGAGGGGGAUAACUACUGGAAACUGUAGCUACUACCGCAUACCCUCGGAUGUGCCCAGAUGGGAUUAGCUAGUAGGCGGGGUAAAGGCUCACCUAGGCGACGAUCCCUAGCUGGUCUGAGAGGAUGACCAGCCACACUGGAACUGAGACACGGUCCAGACUCCUACGGGAGGCAGCAGUGGGGAAUAUUGCACAAUGGGCGCAAGCCUGAUGCAGCCAUGCCGCGUGUAUGAAGAAGGCCUUCGGGUUGUAAAGUACUGUCAGCGGGGAGGCGUUACCCGCAGAAGAAGCACCGGCUAACUCCGUGCCAGCAGCCGCGGUAAUUC